CGCGGGGCUCGAACUCACGACCUGAGCCGGAGUCUGACGCUCAACUGACUGAGCCACCCAGGCGCCUCGACCCCUAUUUAUUUUUUUAAAGUAAUCUCUGCACCCAACGCGGAGGGCUCGAUCUCACCACCCCAAGAUCAUGAGUCACACACUCUACCACUGAGCACGCCAGCUGCCCCAGACCUUCUUUGCAGCGGCGGUCGUCUGCUGAUCUGCUGGCCUUGUCAGCCCUGAAGCACAAUGGAACCUACGUCUUGGAACGCCUGCCGCUGGAGACACAGCUGAGAACGAGACAGCGAACGGCUGCGGACGUUAACAUUCUGGUGCCGGCUGUGGACAGAACGCGAUGAGGACAGGCAGGUGUGACAGUGACCAGGUGGGAAGGGAGACCUCGGGGUGGGUGGAAUCUGAGCCCCGACCUUCAAGGUCGGAAGGGGCGGUCGGCGUGGCCAGUGCCACGGCACGGCCCUCACUUCACUGGAUCCUGUCCUGAGAGCUUCCCGCGGAGCAGGACGGGGUCCCGUGGGGCCAGGAUUUGCUGCCGGAGGCGACACUGGUGGCAACAAGUAACAAGCCAAGAGCCACGGGCCAUCCUGCUGCUCCCGGUCACCUGCCUUUCCGGGAGUGAUCUGGGGGCCUCGGCACUGCUUUCACUUCCGCGGGGGCCACUUCCAGCCCCGAUGGCAUCAGGGACACCGGAAGUUACCCUUGAGGUCAACUCUAAAGGUUAGGCGCACACACAGAGUAGCGAGUCACCCUCGAGUCCGGCCUGCAGGGAGGAACUGUCACUUCAGCACCACGUGACCUCAGGCAGCCGCAGGAAAACGCACACACCCAGUUAUCCUGCAGGUAUUGUGUGAAACGCUCCAAUCCCAAAAUGAGCACAGCACUCUGGGGACAGGAGGAGAUCACCGUUGCUGAGAACCCGGCGCCCCAGCGAGCAAAGGAGGCUGCCAGCACACGGGGUGGGGUGGGCCUGCUGUGGCCAUCCAUCACAUCCUGCCCGGCUGAAGGCAGCACACACCCCUUUGAGACACGGGAAAGCAGUGGGCUCCAGAAGGGGCCUCAAAACUUCUUCCAGGUUCUCUGAACAGCACGAGCAAGCACCCCAGGACCUUUUCCUCAAGGGCCUCCCAGUGCCUGUCAACAUUAAGCACUUACUUUAAGGAGGCCAAAGCAGAGGGACCAUGAACUCCCUGCGGGAAGACAAGGCAGAUGGGGUGGAUCCUGAGCCCGCCCUCCUGGCCUCCACACCUAGUGCUUCCUGAUCCGAUGGUAACCCACAGAACCCCCAUCUUCAAAAAUUACUUUUAGUGGCCCUGGGUGGCUCAGUCGGUCAAGUGUCUGACUUCGGCUCAGGUCACGAUCUCGUGGUUCGUGGGUUCGAGCCCCGCGUCGGGCUCUGUGCGGACAGCCCGGAGCCUGGAGCCUGCUUCGGAUUCUGCGUCUCCCUCUCUCUCUGACCCUCCCCUGCUCGCGCUCGGUGUCUCUCUCUCAACAUUUUUUAAAUUGUGAUAAAAUACGCAUAAAAUGUAACCAUUUCUAAGUGCACAGGUCAGCAGCACCAAGCACGUUCACACUGUCGUGCAGCCACCCCCACCAGCCGUGUCCAGAACUUUCCAUCUCCCCAAACUGAGACUCUGUCCCCAUGAAGCACUGACUCCCCGCCCCCCCCCCCCCCCACUCCACCCCUGGCUCCCACCAUCUACUCUCUGCCUUUGCGGACGGGACUCCUCUGGGGACCCCCUGUGCGUGGGGUCACGUGGGAUGUGUCCUUCUGUGUCUGGCUUCUGUCCCUGUGCACAGUGACCUCCAGGGCCGUCCACGUGGUGGCAGUUCAGUGCGUGGAUGGACACAGUUUAUCCUUACCACCGCACACGACUGUCAUAAACCCCAGAAAACCCGUGUUGGUGACGUGGAAAAAGCACAACUUUUCCACAUCGUGGAGAACAGGUGGUUCCUCCAAAGUUAAAACACAGAAUUACCAUAGGAGCCAGCAAUCCCAUGCCUAGGCACCUACCCAGAAUGGGAAACGUGCGCGAGCAAAUACACGUACUCCGGCCUUCACCGUAAGCAACGUUCACAGGAGCCGAAAAUGCAAGCAAUCCCCGUGCCCACUAGCAGGCCCCUUCUAGAACACACGCCUGGUUCCACCUCCCUUGUCUCCUGACAUAAAAAUCAGACCUAAUAUAACCCAACUACAAUUAGAAAAAAAUA